UGCUUAUUACCACCCUUCCCCUUCCUGCCUGCUUCCUCACUCCCCUUCCAAUGGCUCGUGUAAACCAGUUUCCUCUACCGUAAAGAACACCACAGACUAAAAGGGGAGUUAUAGGGAAGAGCUUAUAUACCCAAGAUAUGGUACAUGGGACAGAAGAAAAAUAAAAGGAAAAAGAGAUAGUAAAUCUAUCUCUUGGAUGCUGACCACGUUUCAGAGAGCUUCCCAGCUUCCCAAUUUUUCGUGAAGACGGGCCUCAUCCCAAGGAGACUUCCUGUGUUUCCCUCCCGAGGAACUGAUUACAGGGCAGCCCGAGUGCUGGCGCCAGCUGAAGGUGCUGCCACGUGGGUGAGGUAGUCUACCACUGAGUCUCAAGACCCCAGUGCAGGAAAAACAAGAAGCUGACCACCUGCUCCAUAGUAACUAAUGCCACGUUGUGUAAAACACCAACAAUCAAGGCUGCUUCUGGAAACAAGUCCAACUUGUUUCUCUGAUGUGUUGUUUUUUGGACAGCUAGUUGCUGAAGUCAGGAAAUUUUUGCUUUAAAAUCCUGUAAUCUGCUUGCCAGAUGCUUACGGGUCAGUUCUCAUGUGUUCUAGGAGUCUGAUUGGCCAGCCUCCCUUAACCUAAGUCUGUGUGCGCCAAAGGCAGAAGAGAACUCUUACCUGUCCUGUCAAGGGAAGGACCUACUGUCAGCGCAGGCUUCCGGGCAGCUGUGCUUCCUUUUGAGGAUGAGCUGGACCGGGGAGGUGGAGCUAGGAGAGGACUCUCACUGGGGGCUGCAGAAGGUGCCUCACGCAGUGGAGUGGACCGGGAAACCAUGCGGACAUGGCUCAGAGCUUGGGUUCUAGAGCGAGCUAGAACCGGGUCAGGGGCCAGGGCUGUUUUCCAGCUUCACCGCCUCUGGACAAGUAGCCUCAUGAACCUUGUUCUUUAUCCCAUGAAAUGGGAAUAAAAACUCUGCCUCCUUCAGAGAAACAAAUUAAGUCAGAGACUGUGCUGCCUCCCCUGGUAAGUGCCUG